AAACAGGAGUUGACGGCGGUGCUUCAAAGGAUAAUUAAAAUACAAAGCAAACAGCCCUUUAAGUCAACUGGAAACGCGACUUAAAUGAAUUAGACUGAUUUGAAUACUUUAACUCUCGUGGCAGACUUGAAACGUGUACCCACGGUGUUUCUCGCGAGCUCGGAGGCGCUCUGAGUCGCGCGCCGCGGUUCAUCCGGCAGCAGGCAGACAGUCAUGGCGGCGCUGCGCAGGUUCGUCUCCUCGCUCCUCACGCCGGCAGGGCCACGGAGAGCCUCCUCCGGGGAGCUGAGGGUGGUCGCAGCGGGAGUGUGUGUCGCCGGUGUCGCUUACUAUUAUUGUUACCACAGGCACUCGGUCGGGGUUCGGCGGCUCGGACUGAGGAGCCGCGUCGAGGCUCGGCUCGUUCAUCAUCAUCUGCUUCCGUCGGUCUCCGCCGCCGACAAGGCAAAGAGCUACGAUCUGGAUGAUCGAGAUGUUUACAUGUCAUCCUACGAGAACAGAUUCAGGCUCUUCAGUUCAUUGGAGCACGACGGCCAACUCUAUAUGACGCCUCUGAACUUCAUUGAGUCUGUCACUCUGAACGAACCAAGAAGCAGGAGAGGAUGGAAGUCCCUCACAAAAAAGGAAUUAGACAAGAUGCUGUCUGAUACCCCUCCUGUUUGGAAAGGAUCAUCUAAUUUGUUUAGAAAUCUCCGAGAACAAGGUGUCAUCAGUUACACCGAGUACCUCUUCCUGCUCUGCAUUUUAACAAAGCCUCAUGCAGGCUUUCGGAUUGCUUUCAACAUGUUUGAUGCUGAUGGGAAUGAAAUGGUGGACAAAAGGGAGUUCUUGGUGUUGGAAGAGAUUUUCCGCAAGAAAAAAGACAGAAAAGAAGCUGCUGAGGACUUUCAAAGACUGGAACAACAAAUCCUGCAGCUUUACGGUCACCGCAAAUCCCAGCCGCAGAGUGUUCGUAAAAAAGACAGUCAGCAUGCGGCAGCUCCGGGCAUGUGGGAUGUUCUCAGACGUGGCACGAGUCGGGUUCUGUUUUCUGAUCUCACUGAGCACGUGGAUGAGAAAACAGAAACAACUCUGCUGGUUCAUUUCUUUGGGAAAAAAGGGAAAGCUGAGUUGAAGUUUGAAGAUUUUUACAAGUUCAUGGACAACUUGCAGACGGAGGUGCUUGAGAUCGAGUUCCUCUCCUACUCCAAAGGCAUGCCCACUAUCAGUGAGGAAGACUUUGCUCGCAUUCUUCUUCGCUAUACAAACGUGGAUGACGUCAGCGGGUAUAUGGAGAAUGUGCGUCACAGCAUACCAGACGAAAAGGGAAUCACCUUUGAGGAGUUCAGGUCCUUCUUUCAGUUCCUGAACAACCUGGAGGAUUUCACCAUCGCCAUGCAAAUGUACAACUUCGCCCACCGCUCGGUCGGUCAAGAGGAGUUUACUCGAGCGGUCUACGUGGCCACAGGAAUCAAGCUGAGCCACCACUUGGUCAACAUCGUCUUCAAGAUCUUUGAUGAGGAUCACGACGGCAAACUCAGCCACAAGGAAUUUAUCGGAGUCAUGAAGGACCGGCUGCACCGCGGUGAUGGGGUGACAGAGGACACAUCCACCUACUUCCUCUGUGGACUGAGGAGGACCAGUACUGCAGAGACACAGAAACACUUCACUCAUUAGUUGGCGUUCGAGUGGAGGAAAAGUUCAUCUCUUUCAAGUCCUGCAUGAAGAAGGAGCUGUCAGCCAAAUAGUUGAAGACCUGAAAAUCAGCUCCCGCUCUACUGGAUCAGCUGUGCUUUCUGUCAGGACAUAUCCCGUGGCUUCAUGCAGGCUGCAGCAUUGUUCAUGUGUGUCGGUGGACUCUGAGGAGAAAAAAGAAUUUAACACAAACAGGAAGCAGUCACUUUAAUGAAAACUAGCUCAAAUGGUCAAACAAACCAACAGAACGACCUGCUCCAUGUUACUAAACUCGAAAUUGCACUGGAGUUUGAAAAAGUACCUAAGAACACACUAAACUGUUUAUUCCUUAUUUAUCAACAAUAAUUUACAUUGAAGAUUUGUGCUUGUGAAAAUAUUUAAUUAUUUAUUCUGUAUCAUUAUUUAUUCAUCUUAAGUGAUUUAAUUUGAGUAUGUUUGCCUGCUGAAGGUGUAGAAUUAUUUUUUUAAACUCUUGUUCAUGCAUGUACCUGGAAGUGGUUGACUUGUCUUUGUCAGACCCAAACCUGGCUCUGUUCAGUUACACAAAGCUCACCUCCCUUUGUCCUUUAGUUAACGCUGCAGCCGAUCUGCAGAGAUCAGUGCAGAACACCCCCCACUCCCCCUAAACUCCUUGUAUUUCCUCCAAAGCUCUGCAGCUGAAACUCUCCAGCAGACGUGAGCACGCUCACUCGGACCGUGGCCUUUUAUUUAUUUAUUUUUUUACCGUUUAACCACCGGCAGCCAGCGGUGUUAACCAUUUCUGGACUUUUAGAAAUGAAGUGUUGUUCUGCCUCUGGCACGAAGCACUUUGUCAUGUAAACACGUGCAGAAUACUAAAGCCCUAUGUUUGUCUCUGCUCAGUUCAUCAGGUUUUAAAGCAUCUGUACUUUAGGAAGGACCUAUAAGAGUGAGCUCCUGAUGUUUCAUAGGGACAAUCUUUCUUUGUGUGGUGUGGAGUAAAAGAAACUAAAAAAACACUGAAAAUAUCAUGAACACACAUGCAUUAACAGCUAAUCAGUUUUAGAUUGCUGCCAAAGAAGUUCAUACUUAAACUUUUAUGUUGGAGUCACUUUUAUGACUAUUUUAGCAGAAAUAUAACAUCCGUGUUGGAUGUGCUCCAGGCUGCACCAGAUGAGUGCACAAAUAAGACAAAAAAAGAGCAGAAUUCAAUGUAAAUAACUGCAACAUGAAAAGGAUUGCAGUGUUAACAUGUAUGAUUAGUGAAUUAUGUGCUGUAACACUUCCUGUGCAGGCUGCAGCACUUCCUGCAGGAAUUUCAUCAUUUUUCGCUGGAAUAAUCGCUUAAUGGUAAACUUGACUAUGAUAAAAUAACAUUUACUUGAACAACGUUUGAGACUGGAGUUGUUUGAAGAUGGUGGUGAUUUGAACUAGCUGUUAGCUCAUCAGACCGGUCAGAAUUAUUAUUAGCGUUCCACAAAAAACUACUUCAAACUGACCAGAAUAUCCCUUUAAUAUUUUUCAUAAAAAACUGUUUGAGACUUGUUUCUUUUUAAAUGUUCGAUUAAUUUAGGCUUGACUGUUACACAGAGUGAUGUUUACUGGUUGGACUCAAUAAAUACUAAAAUAUUUCUGA